CAUGCGCAUUUUUUUAAAAGUUCUGGCGGAAACUUAUUUCCACCUCAAUCUUCCAUUGCAGAGGACGUUGUGAAAAAUAUCAGACCCCACGGCAUUUUGGUAACGUUAAGGAGAGCUGCCACAAGAUCCACUGUGUUCCUGCUGUGCAACCACCAGUUUGGAAGUCCCUCAUCUUAUUGUAUUAUCCAUGUAUGUGGAAAUGUAAACUACAGAAAAACAACAACCGUCAAACAAUAAAAGAAAAGAUGGCAAAGACGUUUGGAUACCGUAGACAAGAAAUAGUGCAUAAGCAUUGAAGACAUGUUGACAAGAUGGCCAGCACUUUUUCAGAUGGAAGAGAUUAAUGCUGAGUUCAUGCGGGUGACAACAGUACCCUUGGAGACAAAGUUCUUAGCGCAGUUGGACAAGCACACGUCAAAACUGCUGGAGGUCAUCAGGAGCAAGGGAGGGCGUGUGAAAGAGCUGACCAAGGCAACUUUGCAGGUUUUAGAUGA